rnacentral:misc_RNA from 1 species
GAUGAAGAACGCAGUGAAAUGCGAUAAUUAAUGUGAAUUGCAGAAUUCAGUGAAUCAUCGAGUCUUUGAACGCACAUUGCGCCCCCUGGUAUUCCGGGGGGCAUGCCUGUCCGAGCGUCAUUGCUGCCCUCAAGCCCGGCUUGUGUGUUGGGCCUCGUCCCCCCUCCGGGGGACGGGCCCGAAAGGCAGCGGCGGCACCGUGUCCGGUCCUCGAGCGUAUGGGGCUUUGUCACCCGCUCUGUAGGCCCGGCCGGCGCCUUAGCCGACGACACAAUCUUUUUUUUCAGGUUGACCUCGGAUCAGGUAGGGAUACCCGCUGAACUUAAGCAUAUCAAUAAGCGGAGGA